rnacentral:rRNA from 1 species
UACGUAGGGGGCAAGCGUUUGUCCGGAUUUAUUGGGCGUAAAGAGCGUGUAGGCGGCCUGAAAGGUCAGCUGUGAAAACUCGAGGCUCAACCUCGAGACGUCGGUUGAAACCAUCUGGCUAGAGUCCGGAAGAGGAGUGUGGAAUUCCCGGUGUAGCGGUGAAAUGCGCAGAUAUCGGGAAGAACACCCGUGGCGAAGGCGGCACUCUGGGACGGUACUGACGCUGAGACGCGAAAGCGUGGGGGAGCGAACAGG